rnacentral:lncRNA from 1 species
AGUACGUCAAUCAUUAUGGAGUGAUUGAAUCAUCCCUACUAUUAUUUCGUGCUCCGUAUCCGAUAAUUUCUUAGCCAUAUGACAUAUACGGCAUGUAAAAACUUUGUGACGGACCAAAGCAGCGUUCGCUAUCAUCAUAGGCGCGGGAACCGGGAGGCGAGGGGGGCAGUGGGAUCAGCUUGCCCCCACUUUUGUGCUGAACUUUGAAAUUAAAUAUUUUCUAUUUAUGGCAUUUCUCGAUAUUGCGAGUGCCAAAACCGGUGAUUGUGAGCCAGGGAUAACAAUUUGGCUAUCUUAACUCAGAAUUAAUAUUCAGCUGGGAUGGUCACCUAAAUGUCCACGCUGGGUUCACCCAGACUCCAAAUCGGAUAGACGAAUAGUUCUGAUAAAAAGUACCUAUUGGUAUCUCAACCAAGUGCCACAGUAUGCAUGUAUCGUAUGGCCUUAGUGCCACCGGUGCCACAGUGUUUGCGCUGUGCUCUUCCAGAGACCGUACCGGCUGGAAUUUAGCGACCGCUGACCGUUUUAAAGACUGUACGGGCGGCAGCGGGCGGUCUGAUCCUCGCCUCCGGCAAGAGGGGAGACCGCGCGUCCCCCUGUCGCAUUGUGCCGCUGCCGCUCGCGGGAUGCGGACGAGUCUGUUGAGUGUGUUGUGCCGUCUGCCGUCUCCUCUUCGGGCCAUGAACGCAGGAUGCAAGACUCGACAGGCGACGGGCGACUCAACCGCUCAAGAUGUGUAGAAUGUGGAUGGCGUAGGAGCG